AUGUGAUCAUAUCACCUUGCAUGGGUAGAAGAACUUUGCAGUCUGAUGAUCUGUGGAUUCGAGAUUUAAAGUUGAGCUGUGCAUGUGCCCGACCUUUACAGAUAUCUACUCGAUCUCAGACUAGGAUACUUUCUCUAUCUUCAAUUCAUUUACUCCUAGAUAAAUCUACAAGCUUCUGGAUUAGCCUUAGAUUUGAUCUCCGAUCAGGUUUCGAUUAGUGCUAGAUCGCAGCCUUCUUGUUUCUUCACGU
rnacentral:lncRNA from 1 species